UUUACUAUAGCUUGACACUGAACAUUGAGCCUUGAUGUGUAGGAUAGGUGGGAGGCUUUGAAGCGUGGACGCAGUCUGCGUGGAGCCAACCUUGAAAUACCACCCUUUAAUGUUUGAUGUUCUAACGUUGGCCCUUACCGGGGUUGCGGACAGUGUCUGGUGGGUAGUUUGACUGGGGCGGUCUCCUCCCAAAGCGUAACGGAGGAGCACGAAGGUUAGCUAAUCCUGGU
rnacentral:rRNA from 1 species